UUGUCUGACAGAUUUAGUUACUUUUCAGAUUACAAUUGUUCAUACCCUUCCUGUCCAAUGAAAACCAUGUAUCUCCGAAUGUGGUGACUUUGAAUUUAAUUUUUUCUGAUAAACUGAAGGAUUAAUUGUUCCUUAAUGGGUUGAGAAAAAUCUCCUACUUCAGAUAACUAAACUAUUUAGACGCUCCCCUUGGAUUAGCUGGAAAAUGCAUUGUCACAAAGCUGAAAACAGGGCUGUUUUUCUGCUCCCUUCUACUAGUAACAUCAAAAAAGACUAAAUGUUGAGUAAAAUGCAAGCAGAGAUAAAACUGUGCCAUCAGAUAUUUAACUAUUUAUACUUCAUGGCCUCAUGACCUUUAUCUUUUUGUACUCUUAAUGACUCAUUGUGCAACAUCUCAUAUUUAGUUUAUGUCAUCAUGGCUGCUUGUGUCUUUUUCAAGGUAAAAAUGCAAGCUACAGUUAAAAAAGAUAUUUUUUCUUUACAAUCAAUGAAUGUUACAUUAAAUUAAAUACAACUCUGUAAAAAUGGCAGUUUUGAAGAAUAUUAUCUUAAGAAAAUUAUGUCAUGUGUCAUGGUCCAGCUACAUCUCUCUCGCUUUCCUUGUGUGCUCUGUUGUUUUUCCCCUCCCUGUGUGAGUGUGUGUGUCCUGGUCUGGGGCUCUCUGGUCUCCCUGCUGCUGCUGAUCACCAGCACACCUGUUGCUCGUCAUCCAGUCUGCUCAAGACCGCGCAGUAAAUCCAGCCGGCUCUUCUCUUCAGUGCUCCACAGCGUGAUCUCAGCCAGCGUGACCAUCCAGAACCUCACCUGCCUUCACUCACCUGUCUCAGCACCCCGAAGGCCUGCCUGUAAACCAGGAGUGAUCUUUUGUGUUGAUUGCAAUAAAUCUGAUUCAAACUUG